AUGCCGCCGCCGGCGCAGCACGAGGAGUUCGACGCCGCCGACGGCGAGGCAUCCAAGUACGCAGAGCAUGCGCCCAAGCUCGCCGAGUUCCUCUGCAGUUUCCACUCCGACGACCUCCGCCACAUCCUCCUCCACCCCGAGUCCACGCUCCACUUCCCCCUCGUCAUCGACUUCGCGGAGCUCCUGGACUUCGACCCCGGCUUGGCCAAAAUACUCUACAACGACCCCAAGGGCUUCCUCCCCUACUUCGACAGCGCCGCCCAGCGCGCCCAGAGUGAGGUGUUGUGCAUCCUCAAAAAGUGCGAGGCGCUGGGUAAUCCGGACGAGCCGAGGCCGUCUGCCGUGCAGAAGGGGUUCGUGCACGUGCGCGUCAACGUCUGCGGGUCGCCACUGGAAUUCCCUGAGUCGUCGCCGAGCAUUGGGAAGGUGAGGGUGAAGCAUAGGGGGAUUCUGCUGACCUUGAAGGGGACUGUGAUCAGGUCAGGAGGUGUGAAGAUGAUCGAGGGCAAGCGGUGGUACCAAUGCAGGAAAUGCAACUGCAGGUUCCGCUGCUAUCCUGAGCUAGAGGCUGGGAAUCGUAUAACUCUACCCGCAUCUUGCCCAUCCAUGAGUUCAAAAGGUUGUCAAAGUGCUUCUUUCCAAUUGAUAGGAGAUAGCAUAACCUGUCAUGAUUAUCAAGAAAUAAAAAUCCAAGAAAGCGUGCAACUUCUGGAUGUUGGGUCUAUACCCCGUUCCAUGCCUGUGAUUUUGAUGGAUGACCUUGUUGAUCUUGUUAAAGCUGGAGAUGAUGUCAUUGUUACGGGUAUAUUAUCUGCAAAGUGGUCUUCUGAUGUUAAGGAUGUGCGUUGCAACCUUGAUCCUAUGUUUAUUGCCAAUUAUGUGAGGAGAACUAAUGAGCUGAAGUCUGGUAUAGACAUCCCUGAGGAAAUUAUCAAGGAUUUCGAGCUUUUCUGGGCAGAAAACAGAGCUACUCCACUAGAAGGAAGAAAUAAAAUCUUGAAAGGCAUUUGUCCUCAGAUUUUUGGGUUAUUCACGGUAAAGCUUGCAGUUGCUCUUACGUUGAUUGGUGGAGUGCAGCAUGUUGAUGCUUCUGGAACAAAGGUUCGUGGCGAACCACAUAUGCUUCUUGUUGGUGAUCCAGGUACUGGUAAAUCCCAGUUUUUGAAGUUUGCUGCUAAAUUGAGCAACCGUUCUGUGAUUACAACUGGUCUUGGAAGUACCAGUGCUGGUUUGACUGUGACUGCUGUCAAGGAUGGAGGUGAGUGGAUGCUUGAGGCUGGUGCCCUUGUUCUGGCUGAUGGUGGUUUGUGCUGCAUAGAUGAAUUUGAUAGUAUGCGAGAGCAUGACAGGACAACAAUACAUGAAGCCAUGGAACAACAAACAAUAAGCGUUGCAAAGGCUGGACUGGUGACAACACUCAGUACAAGGACUACUGUCUUUGGUGCCACUAAUCCAAAAGGACAAUAUGAUUCAAAUGAAUCCUUAUCCGUGAAUACAACACUUUCAGGACCAUUGCUGAGUAGAUUUGAUAUAGUUCUUGUUCUCUUGGAUAAAAAGAACCCUAAGUUGGAUGGUAUAAUUUCAUCUCAUAUAUUAGCUCAGAGCACCAAAGCAGAAGAAAACAAGGCCAGUGACCCUGCCGUAAAAAGCACCCAACCUUUGGGUAUAAAAGAGUGGACACUCCCCUGUUUGAGAAGGUAUAUCCACUAUGUAAAACAGCGGUUCAAACCGGUGCUGACAAAGGAAGCAGAAAGUGUUAUCUCAGGCUAUUAUCAGCUUCAGCGGAGAGAUGGAACACAUAAUGCAGCGAGGACAACUGUGCGUAUGCUUGAGAGUUUGAUAAGGCUGGCACAAGCACACGCAAGAUUAAUGUUCAGAAAUGAGGUUACACGGCUUGAUGCUAUUGCUGCCAUAUUAUGCAUUGAGUCCUCCAUGACAAUAUCUGCAAUCAUAGACGGUGAUGGAAACGCUCUGAACUCCAAUUUCCAAGAGAACCCUGAUCAGGAAUAUAUCAAAGAGGAGCAGAAAAUUCGUGACAAGCUUGGGGAUUACCUAUACUAA
rnacentral:rRNA from 1 species